rnacentral:rRNA from 1 species
UGGGGAAUCUUGGACAAUGGGGGCAACCCUGAUCCAGCCAUGCCGCGUGAGUGAUGAAGGCCUUAGGGUCGUAAAGCUCUUUCGCCUGUGAAGAUAAUGACGGUAGCAGGUAAAGAAACCCCGGCUAACUCCGUGCCAGCAGCCGCGGUAAUACGGAGGGGGUUAGCGUUGUUCGGAAUUACUGGGCGUAAAGCGCACGUAGGCGGACUGAUCAGUCAGGGGUGAAAUCCCGGGGCUCAACCCCGGAACUGCCUCCAAAACUAUUGGUCUAGAGUUCGAGAGAGGUGAGUGGAAUUCCAAGUGUAGAGGUGAAAUUCGUAGAUAUUUGGAGGAACACCAGUGGCGAAGGCGGCUCACUGGCUCGAUACUGACGCUGAGGCGCGAAAGCGUGGGGAGCAAACAGGAUUUAGAUACCCUGGUAGUCCACGCCGUAAACGAUGAGUGCUAGUCGUCGGCAGGCAUGCCUGUCGGUGACGCAGCUAACGCAUUAAGCACUCCGCCUGGGGAGUACGGCCGCAAGGUUAAAACUCAAAUGAAUUGACGG